rnacentral:lncRNA from 1 species
UGGUGGGGGAAAGGUUGGCGAUCAGGAAUACAUAUGUGUAGUUUUUGUUAGAAGCCAUCCAUAGCACACCCGAGGGAUGAAAGGCCUCCAAGUGGGAACUGGAACGAUCAAAUUCUUGCUGAUUAUUAAUUGGGCCCUAAUUUCAGAAAGCAAUGCUGUUUUUACAAAUUGGACCUGACUUUAAAGAACAAAACACAAAAAACAAAAAGAGUAGAAAAUUUUAUGCUAAAAAAGAUUCGCAAUGAAACAAUCAGUAGCACAUUGCAUCUGUUAAGUGUCCCAGCUCCCUGUAAUGGUUAUGUUUCCAACGGUUGUUUCUUUCCAAGAUAAUGGUGUAGGUGUUACACCCCAAUCUUCAUGUCCACAUUCUGCAGGUUCCUUGUCUCAUCAGCUGUCAUAAACUGGUCUGGAGUUUCUGACGACUCCUUGUUCACCAAAUGCACCAUUUCCUGAGACUUGCUGGCCUCUCCGUUGAGUCCACUUGGCUUUCUGUCCUCCACAGCUCCAUUGCCACUGUUGAUCACUAGCUUUUUCUUCUGCCC